rnacentral:lncRNA from 1 species
GUUAGCUGUCUUGUCUCCUUGAUGGCUGCUGUCUCAACAUAAGUUCUCAGCUCCUGCUCUAGAGCCAUGCUUGCCUGUUUCCAUGCUUCUCCAGACGAUGGUCAUGAACUCUGCUGCCCUCCGGAAUCAUGAGCCCCAGACUAAAUGCUUUCUUACGAACUGUGAGCAACCAUUCCGGGACCUGACAUUCUGUAAACUUCACACCACCUUCCAGCAUACCCAGCCAGGAGUACUUCCUGGAUAAAAUAUUAAACGCGCAAAUCUGAGAAGUGCCUUAACCAGCGACAGACUGCACGACCACAGCCUGGCGAAGGAGACGCACGCUAUGCUCACACGAUCUGAAAUUCGCUGCUGUGAAAACAGAAGGAAACGGUCCUGUCAGGAGAACCAGCCCCUGCAGUUCCCUAAGGCUGGCACAAUGGAGGAAGGUUCCUCUCCGCCUGAGUUCCUACCUCGGUGAUGGACUCCGUGAUGGACUAUGAUCCUGACACGUAAGCCAAACGAACCCUUUCCUCUCCAGGUUGCUGUUUAGCACAGCAGAAGCAGCAGCAGCAGGCUUCUCUCUCUCCUCUCAGAAGCAUCAUGUGCUCUUCGAUGCUGAGUCAUCUCACUAGGCCCCUCCCGAGCCCUCUUCCACACCUUCUGAGAGAUAAUGUCUCACGUGAAUCUCUGGCUGGCUAGAACUUAGAACCAGAGCAGGCUGAUCUCCAAACGAGGACCAUCUCCUGCCUCCCAGAUGCUGGGAUUCCAGGUGUGUGGGUAUGUGCGCCACACACCUGGCUACUGGAACACAUUUUUGUUAAUUAGCUGAAUUAGUCAUAUAGUCGUAUUAUGCUAAACUGCAUUAAUUUAGUUAGGCCAAGUGGUAUUAGUUAAUUAAAUUCCUGUAACAUGGAAGACAGCGGCUGGGGAGACCUUUUCCUAAGUGCUCCUCGCUCUAUCUCCCAAUGUUCGAACUUAAAUCUCUAUUAAAACUAUAUUUUAGGCAGGUGUGGGUGCUCUCAUAGGAUCAGAAAUCCAAAGCCACAACUAAGAUCCGGCAGGUGCUUGCAGACAGUGACAUCUUGUGGGAAAUCUCAGGAACUGCACCGUGGCAAAUCGCUGCUCCUUUUACUGUGGGGUCCUUGGAAUACCCAGUCAACAUCAAGGAAGCAUUCAUUCAUUCACUGCCUUCUGUGUACAAGGAACUGAUCCAAGUCCUGGAAUAAAGAAAGCAAGAGAGACUGGAUGGCUACACGGGGAGUGAAAAAAUUCCCAAGGAUUAUAACCUUGUCAUUACUGCUCAACUUUAAAUAUAUUUUGUGUGUGUGU